UGGAAUCAAAAUUUUCACUAGAAGUUCGAAAUGUAAAACAAAUAUAUGAAAAGAUUAAAGGUUCAACAUCUAUCAUAUAUAUAAAAAAAAAUAAAAAUUCUAAACAUAUGUAAGUGAUGUAAUUUUUCAUUCAAGAAAGUUCGAAUAAAAUCUCUGGAUCCUUGCUAGUUGCUAGCUCUGCCCCAAGUUUUUUUUCUCU
rnacentral:lncRNA from 1 species